AGGGACAAAAGGGUGAACAGGGCAGACCAGGACUGGCUGGAAGGCAAGGAGCUAAGGGGAUGAAAGGAAACCCUGGUCCACCUGGAGCUUGUGGUCGAACGGAGUAUUAUGAUUAUGUGGUUGGUGAAAAAGGAGAUGAAGGACCCCCUGGACCUCCUGGGCCAAAAGGUCAACGUGGCAUUCCCGGGCCACAGGGUCCUCCUGGAGAUGCUGGUAGACCAGGUGUGUCAAGACCUGGUCUGAGAGGUCCUCCAGGAUUUCCUGGGCCAAAAGGAACAAAAGGAGAGAAAGGACAAACUGGCUUGUGCAUUGUAGGCCCUCCAGGACCACCUGGUAUUAGUGGCAGACCUGGUUCAAUUGGAUUACCAGGUCCUCCAGGAGAACCAGGUGGAGUAACAUUCAGAAGAGGCCUGCCAGGAUUUCCUGGAGAACCAGGAUGUGUAGGACCUCCAGGACCUCCAGGAGAUACUGGCAUGAAAG
rnacentral:lncRNA from 1 species